ACUAAAUCUCAGACUAAUCCACCGCUCCAGAAAAUCUGGACACCUGGACCUGAAAAGCAGUUAGAUGGGACAGUGAGAGAUGGUUUUGAGGUUGAUCUUCAGUCAGCAGCCACUGUGGAAGAUUCUAAUAUUCUGCCAGCUAUAUUCUGCAGUCAGCCGGCAUUCUGUAAUUGCUAACGAUUGUGACGGUGGGCAUGACCUGCUUGCCAAAGUCAAAGAGAACAGCCUGAUGGGGACUUUUAUUGCCACCCUCAGUUUCACUGCACACCCAUCAGCCAAUCACAUGCGCUUAAAACUUUCUGGAAAAGAUGCCGAUUGGUUUUAUCUGGAGGGAAGGACCAUUAGACUGAACUCAACAUUAACUAAGAUUAUUGAUAGAGAGGUAACAUUAAAACAAAUCUUUAGGCUAUUACACUAUCAUCUUCUGUCAUGA
rnacentral:lncRNA from 1 species